rnacentral:tRNA from 1 species
GAGCCCGACUGGAGUAAUGAGAACUGCUAAUUCCUCACCCCCAUGGUUCAAUUCCAUGGCCCGCUCG